UCAAAGUCGGUGAGCCCCAAGCCCAGGUCCGGCGAGCCUCACACCUUGGUUUGUCAAGCCACACACUCAGCUGGUCCAUCGAGCCUCGCACCCAUUCAUUGACCCUCGUGUUCAGAUCUGCAACCUCGGGGGCUCAGAUUCGCCUCCUCCUUAUCAAAUCUUCCUCCUCCGGUUGCCACAAUUCGCGACCUCUUUCAGAUGCCCCAAUUCGACUCACAAGCAGUUAUAAUUAUGCCUCUGUUGCAAUGGGAAUAGUAGGAGUAAAAUGAGAUAAUUUGCAAGAACACCGAAGAUAAAAAGGUAUUUGAUGAAUCUGUCGACGACUGGGCUUCUAGAUCUAAGUUCUUGAAUAUGUGUUUGAUGUUGGAACUAACUCGUUUUUCGUAUCUUUUUGUUUUCAGAUUUUGGUUGCGGCUGGUUUUCUUGAUCUGAUUUUAGUUUAUGAUUAGUUUGGCUUUCGAUUCUGAGUUUGGAUUUGGGUAUUACAUUUUUUAAUUUGAAUGGUCAUUAGAGAUGUUGAAAAUUGAAUUGGGAUUUGAAUGAGUUUGGGGCU